rnacentral:rRNA from 1 species
UACGUAGGGUGCGAGCGUUGUCCGGAAUUAUUGGGCGUAAAGAGCUCGUAGGCGGCUUGUCGCGUCGGAUGUGAAAGCCCGGGGCUUAACUCCGGGUCUGCAUUCGAUACGGGCAGGCUAGAGUGUGGUAGGGGAGAUCGGAAUUCCUGGUGUAGCGGUGAAAUGCGCAGAUAUCAGGAGGAACACCGAUGGCGAAGGCAGAUCUCUGGGCCGUAACUGACGCUGAGGAGCGAAAGCAUGGGGAGCGAACAGG